GUGUCUGUAGCGCAGUGGUUAGCGCGACUGCAUCAAAAGACAGGAGGCUCGGGUUCGAUCCCCGACUGACACU
rnacentral:tRNA from 1 species